rnacentral:rRNA from 1 species
CAGUAGCCCGGUAAUACGUAGGGUGCAAGCGUUAAUCGGAAUUAUUGGGCGUAAAGCGUGCGCAGGCGGUUAUAUAAGUCAGAUGUGAAAUCCCCGGGCUCAACCUGGGAACUGCAUUUGAGACUGUAUGGCUAGAGUGUGUCAGAGGGGGGUAGAAUUCCACGCGUAGCAGUGAAAUGCGUAGAUAUGUGGAGGAAUACCGAUGGCGAAGGCAGCCUCCUGGGAUAACACUGACGCUCAUGCACGAAAGCGUGGGGAGCAAACAGGAUUAGAUACCCCUGUAGUCCCUGUCUCUUAUACA